rnacentral:rRNA from 1 species
AUUGAACGCUGGCGGCAGGCCUAACACAUGCAAGUCGAACGAGAGGCGGACGGGUGAGUAAUGCCUGGGACACUGCCUGAUGGAGGGGGAUAACUACUGGAAACGGUAGCUAAUAACGCAUACAAUCAGAUGUGCCCAGCUGGGAUUAGCUUGUGGGUGGGGUAACGGCUCACCAAGGCGACGACCCCUAGCUGGUCUGAGAGGAUGAUCAGCCACACUGGAACUGAGACACGGUCCAGACUCCUACGGGAGGCAGCAUUGGGGAAUAUGGCACUAUGGGCGAAAGCCUGAUGCAGCCAUGCCGCGUGUAUGAAGAAGGCCUGCGGGGUGUAAAGUACUUUCAGCAGGGAGGCGUUACCCGCAGAAGAAGCACCGGCUAACUCCGUGCCAGCAGCCGCGGUAAUUC